rnacentral:tRNA from 1 species
CUGGGUGUGGCGCAGUUUGGUAGCGCGCUACCUUGGGGUGGUAGAGGCCGGAAGUUCAAAUCUUCUCACUCAGACCA